ACUCCUACGGGAGGCAGCAGUGGGGAAUUUUGGACAAUGGGCGCAAGCCUGAUCCGGCAAUGCCGCGUGAGUGAAGAAGGCCUUCGGGUUGUAAAGCUCUUUCAGUCGAGAAGAAAAGGCUGCAGCGAAUAACUGCGGUUUAUGACGGUAUCGACAGAAGAAGCACCGGCUAACUACGUGCCAGCAGCCGCGGUAAU
rnacentral:rRNA from 1 species